rnacentral:rRNA from 1 species
GAUGAACGCUGGCGGCGUGCCUAAUACAUGCAAGUCGAGCGAACGGACGAGAAGCUUGCUUCUCUGAUGUUAGCGGCGGACGGGUGAGUAACACGUGGAUAACCUACCUAUAAGACUGGGAUAACUUCGGGAAACCGGAGCUAAUACCGGAUAAUAUUUUGAACCGCAUGGUUCAAAAGUGAAAGACGGUCUUGCUGUCACUUAUAGAUGGAUCCGCGCUGCAUUAGCUAGUUGGUAAGGUAACGGCUUACCAAGGCAACGAUGCAUAGCCGACCCGAGAGGGUGAUCAGCCACACUGGAACUGAGACACGGUCCAGACUCCUACGGGAGGCAGCAGUAGGGAAUCUUCCGCAAUGGGCGAAAGCCUGACGGAGCAACGCCGCGUGAGUGAUGAAGGUCUUCGGAUCGUAAAACUCUGUUAUUAGGGAAGAACAUAUGUGUAAGUAACUGUGCACAUCUUGACGGUACCUAAUCAGAAAGCCACGGCUAACUACGUG